GCGGAUGCGGUGCACCGACAGCGCGGCGCACAAAUGCAACUACGAGCUUUUUAACCGCAACAAUUUUAGUAUACGCUAUUGGAGCUGGAAUUACCGCGGCUGCUGGCACCAGACUUGCCCUCCAAUUGUUCCUCGUUAAAAUAUUUAAAGUGUACUCAUUCCGAUUACGAGGCCUCGUAAGAGUCCCGUAUCGUUAUUUUUCGUCACUACCUCCCCGUGCCGGGAGUGGGUAAUUUGCGCGCCUGCUGCCUUCCUUGGAUGUGGUAGCCGUUUCUCAGGCUCCCUCUCCGGAAUCGAACCCUGAUUCCCCGUUACCCGUGACAACCAUGGUAGUCGCAGAAACUACCAUCGAAAGUUGAUAAGGCAGACAUUUGAAAGAUGCGUCGCCGGUACUGGACCAUGCGAUCGGCAAAAGUUAUCCAGAUUCAUCAAAAUUAACGACUUCGGACGCGAGGCCCUCCGUCGAUUGGUUUUGAUCUAAUAAAAGCACUCAUCCCAUCACUGGUCAGAGUUCUGAUUGCAUGUAUUAGCUCUAGAAUUACCACAGUUAUCCAAGUAACUGAGUAAGAUCUAAGGAACCAAAACUGAUAUAUUGAGCCAUUCGCGGUAUCGCCUUAAUACGGCUUGCACUGAGACAUGCAUGGCUUAAUCUUUGAGACAAGCAUAUAACUACUGGCAGGAUCAACCAGGGAGCUUCUUUGUUGAGAGUUGAAGCCGGAGCGCGCGCGCGCGCGUGCGCGAACUCACGCACACACACGCACACACGCACGCACCGGCACACAAUACUCGACGACCCCGAAGCGCACGCGAUCUUUUUAAGGAAACGCGAAACGCACUGGGGCGAGCUCGAAAAUUCGGAUUGUUGUUUGUUUCGCGGCACGCGAACGUCUCUACGCGUAUAUCUCAACGCGAUGAAGAGACGCGCUGCGGUCGCACUGAGGACGCUACGUCUCGGCGGCGAGGCCGAGACGACAGGCCCCUUUAUGGAACGUUCGUACCGAGACGAUUUCACGUUUGUAUAAGAUCAGCUUACACAAUCGUUGAAACCAUACACGAUUCCGCCCGGUGGUUGUAGAGCGCCUCACCCAUGCGGCGAACACAAUAUAUUAUUGCAAUGAUCGAACGUGACGAGGGCGUCGACGGGCAACACGUCGCGCGUCCGAGCGCCGGCGUUGUCGUACCGUCGCCACGUUCAUAAUGUUUACUAAGUUCGACCGAUUAUAACGGACACGAGCACAUACACGUUCCGUCGGCCGGCACAGUUCAAUAAGAGAAACGAUAGAGAGCGUGGUUUGGUAGUCUGCGAACACGCGUUACAUAUAAAUACAUAACGACACAUUCUCGUGUUUUCCGCUCUUCGCUUCGAACGCACAAUCCGCACAUAAACAACACAACACCGUUGUGUAUUAUUAAGUGUUAAAAGCGCGACAAAACGAAAAUUUCGAAAAACAUCGGACACCGCACCACACAUCACAUCAUCUCGCACAUCACACGUCGCCACACUCCGCGAAUCACAUCAUAUACACACAUACGUAUUGUACACAUAUUCAUCGCGUCGCGUGACAACGAAGCGAACGCAAGAAUCGAUGCGAUCGCCUCUCGCCAUCUGACUGUACGCUGAUCUUCACUCACACACGAGCGCCGCGUCGCGUGUCGAGCGGGAAGGGGUUGCGGCGGCGCGCGCGGGGGGGUGUACGUCUUGCGGUGCGCUCGCUGGCCGGGGGGGGGGGGGUGUCGUGUGCCUGCCUGACAACAUUACGCGCGCGCAGGGGGGGGGGGGUUGGGGGGUGCGCGCGCGAGCCGCCCAGCACCCACCGCGCUUACGCACACACGCUUACUCACACGGUACAUACAUACGUACUAGUGUAACUAGUNUUGAUCUUGUUAGAUCAUAGUUUGUCUGUCUAACUUAAAAGCUAGAAUGGACCCUAAAUGUUGAAAGUAUUCAUCGAUUUACUUCUAUCAAUAGUAUAUAGUUAAUGAUUUGAGAUAGUAUGUGUAUUGGGAGAAUUUGUUUCCGUAUCAUCGUGCCACGUAUGAGACGAGGCAACGUUUGUAAGUAUGUAAGAGAGAAAACCUUGUUUGGAGAAGACGGCCCUCUGCAUCUUUCUUAAGUAAAAGGGCUCCGUGAUAGUGUUUCAUGUUGUGGUUCUUUAAUGCCAAGCAAGCGCGGGUAAACGGCGGGAGUAACUAUGACUCUCUUAAGGUAGCCAAAUGCCUCGUCAUCUAAUUAGUGACGCGCAUGAAUGGAUUAACGAGAUUCCCACUGUCCCUAUCUACUAUCUAGCGAAACCACAGCCAAGGGAACGGGCUUGGGAGAAUCAGCGGGGAAAGAAGACCCUGUUGAGCUUGACUCUAGUCUGGCAUUGUAAGGAGACAUGAGAGGUGUAGCAUAAGUGGGAGAUCGUUCGCGCGAUCGUCGCUGAAAAACCACUACUUUCAUUGUUUCAUUACUUACUCGGUUGGGCGGAAGCGGUGCGCGGUCGAUAAUAUCGGCGGGCGCACGGUGUUUCGUUCCAAGCGUGCAGAGUGGCGACGUGGCGGCAACGCUCGUCGCCGUACAACUCCCGCGUGAUCCGGUUCGAGGACACUGCCAGGCGGGUAGUUUGACUGGGGCGGUACAUCUGUCAAAGAAUAACGCAGGUGUCCUAAGGCCAGCUCAGCGAGGACAGAAACCUCGCGUGGAGCAAAAGGGCAAAAGCUGGCUUGAUCCAGAUGUUCAGUACGCAUAGGGACUGCGAAAGCACGGCCUAUCGAUCCUUUAGUAUAAAGAGUUUUUAGCAAGAGGUGCCAGAAAAGUUACCACAGGGAUAACUGGCUUGUGGCAGCCAAGCGUUCAUAGCGACGUUGCUUUUUGAUCCUUCGAUGUCGGCUCUUCCUAUCAUUGCGAAGCAAAAUUCGCCAAGCGUUGGAUUGUUCACCCAUCAAAAGGGAACGUGAGCUGGGUUUAGACCGUCGUGAGACAGGUUAGUUUUACCCUACUGAUGGCUUGUCGUUGCGAUAGUAAUACUGCUCAGUACGAGAGGAACCGCAGUUUCGGACAUUUGGUUCAUGCACUCGGCCGAGCGGCCGGUGGUGCGAAGCUACCAUCCGCGGGAUUAUGCCUGAACGCCUCUAAGGCCGAAGCCAGCCUAGCCGAAUCCGGCAAGGAUAUGCUCACUGUGGAGCCCCGAGAGUCGGGAGGCUCUAAACAAUGUGACUUUACUAGUCGCGCUUCACCACGUGAGGUGCGACGUCGAAGCCCAUUUGGAUCGCGGAGAUCGAUGC
rnacentral:rRNA from 1 species